rnacentral:rRNA from 1 species
AUUGAACGCUGGCGGCAUGCCUUACACAUGCAAGUCGAACGGUAACAGGUCUUCGGAUGCUGACGAGUGGCGAACGGGUGAGUAAUACAUCGGAACGUGCCCGAUCGUGGGGGAUAACGAAGCGAAAGCUUUGCUAAUACCGCAUAAGAUCUACGGAUGAAAGCAGGGGACCGCAAGGCCUUGCGCGAACGGAGCGGCCGAUGGCAGAUUAGGUAGUUGGUGGGAUAAAAGCUUACCAAGCCGACGAUCUGUAGCUGGUCUGAGAGGACGACCAGCCACAGUGGGACUGAGACACGGCCCAGACUCCUACGGGAGGCAGCAGUGGAGAAUUUUGGACGAUGGGCGAAAGCCUGAUCCAGCCAUGCCGCGUGCAGGAUGAAGGCCUUCGGGUUGUAAACUGCUUUUGUACGGAACGAAAAGACUCUGGUUAAUACCUGGGGUCCAUGACGGUACCGUAAGAAUAAGCACCGGCUAACUACG